rnacentral:rRNA from 1 species
AGGGGAGCCGAAGGGAAACCGAGUCUUAACUGGGCGUUAAGUUGCAGGGUAUAGACCCGAAACCCGGUGAUCUAGCCAUGGGCAGGUUGAAGGUUGGGUAACACUAACUGGAGGACCGAACCGACUAAUGUUGAAAAAUUAGCGGAUGACUUGUGGCUGGGGGUGAAAGGCCAAUCAAACCGGGAGAUAGCUGGUUCUCCCCGAAAGCUAUUUAGGUAGCGCCUCGUGAAUUCAUCUCCGGGGGUAGAGCACUGUUUCGGCAAGGGGGUCAUCCCGACUUACCAACCCGAUGCAAACUGCGAAUACCGGAGAAUGUUAUCACGGGAGACACACGGCGGGUGCUAACGUCCGUCGUGAAGAGGGAAACAACCCAGACCGCCAGCUAAGGUCCCAAAGUCAUGGUUAAGUGGGAAACGAUGUGGGAAGGCCCAGACAGCCAGGAUGUUGGCUUAGAAGCAGCCAUCAUUUAAAGAAAGCGUAAUAGCUCACUGGUCGAGUCGGCCUGCGCGGAAGAUGUAACGGGGCUAAACCAUGCACCGAAGCUGCGGCAGCGACACUGUGUGUUGUUGGGUAGGGGAGCGUUCUGUAAGCCUGUGAAGGUGUGCUGUGAGGCAUGCUGGAGGUAUCAGAAGUGCGAAUGCUGACAUAAGUAACGAUAAAGCGGGUGAAAAGCCCGCUCGCCGGAAGACCAAGGGUUCCUGUCCAACGUUAAUCGGGGCAGGGUGAGUCGACCCCUAAGGCGAGGCCGAAAGGCGUAGUCGAUGGGAAACAGGUUAAUAUUCCUGUACUUGGUGUUACUGCGAAGGGGGGACGGAGAAGGCUAUGUUGGCCGGGCGACGGUUGUCCCGGUUUAAGCGUGUAGGCUGGUUUUCCAGGCAAAUCCGGAAAAUCAAGGCUGAGGCGUGAUGACGAGGCACUACGGUGCUGAAGCAACAAAUGCCCUGCUUCCAGGAAAAGCCUCUAAGCAUCAGGUAACAUCAAAUCGUACCCCAAACCGACACAGGUGGUCAGGUAGAGAAUACCAAGGCGCUUGAGAGAACUCGGGUGAAGGAACUAGGCAAAAUGGUGCCGUAACUUCGGGAGAAGGCACGCUGAUAUGUAGGUGAAGUCCCUCGCGGAUGGAGCUGAAAUCAGUCGAAGAUACCAGCUGGCUGCAACUGUUUAUUAAAAACACAGCACUGUGCAAACACGAAAGUGGACGUAUACGGUGUGACGCCUGCCCGGUGCCGGAAGGUUAAUUGAUGGGGUCAGCGCAAGCGAAGCUCUUGAUCGAAGCCCCGGUAAACGGCGGCCGUAACUAUAACGGUCCUAAGGUAGCGAAAUUCCUUGUCGGGUAAGUUCCGACCUGCACGAAUGGCGUAAUGAUGGCCAGGCUGUCUCCACCCGAGACUCAGUGAAAUUGAACUCGCUGUGAAGAUGCAGUGUACCCGCGGCAAGACGGAAAGACCCCGUGAACCUUUACUAUAGCUUGACACUGAACAUUGAGCCUUGAUGUGUAGGAUAGGUGGGAGGCUUUGAAGUGUGGACGCCAGUCUGCAUGGAGCCGACCUUGAAAUACCACCCUUUAAUGUUUGAUGUUCUAACGUGGACCCGUGAUCCGGGUUGCGGACAGUGUCUGGUGGGUAGUUUGACUGGGGCGGUCUCCUCCUAAAGAGUAACGGAGGAGCACGAAGGUUGGCUAAUCCUGGUCGGACAUCAGGAGGUUAGUGCAAUGGCAUAAGCCAGCUUGACUGCGAGCGUGACGGCGCGAGCAGGUGCGAAAGCAGGUCAUAGUGAUCCGGUGGUUCUGAAUGGAAGGGCCAUCGCUCAACGGAUAAAAGGUACUCCGGGGAUAACAGGCUGAUACCGCCCAAGAGUUCAUAUCGACGGCGGUGUUUGGCACCUCGAUGUCGGCUCAUCACAUCCUGGGGCUGAAGUAGGUCCCAAGGGUAUGGCUGUUCGCCAUUUAAAGUGGUACGCGAGCUGGGUUUAGAACGUCGUGAGACAGUUCGGUCCCUAUCUGCCGUGGGCGCUGGAGAACUGAGGGGGGCUGCUCCUAGUACGAGAGGACCGGAGUGGACGCAUCACUGGUGUUCGGGUUGUCAUGCCAAUGGCACUGCCCGGUAGCUAAAUGCGGAAGAGAUAAGUGCUGAAAGCAUCUAAGCACGAAACUUGCCCCGAGAUGAGUUCUCCCUGACCCUUUAAGGGUCCUGAAGGAACGUUGAAGACGACGACGUUGAUAGGCCGGGUGUGUAAGCGCAGCGAUGCGUUGAGCUAACCGGUACUAAUGAACCGUGAGGCUUAACCUUACAACGCCGAAGGUGUUU